GGAGGUAUGCUCAGUGGUAGAGCAUGUGCCUGGCAUGCACACAAGGUCCUGGGUUCUGUCCCCAGCACCUCCA
rnacentral:tRNA from 1 species